GGGGUCUCCCGCAGCACGGGGUCCAUUUAAACGGCUGCUCCGCACCAGGCGAAGCCGGCUGUGAGGGGGAGAAAGGCGGCGGUGGGCACUCGAAGGAUGCACGGGCCUCCCUGUUUCCUUGGUAGAGUCGAUCCGCACUCAGUCUGACCCAGGACGUCACUCUGCCUGUCUGUUUUCUCAAUGAUAACUUGGCAGGAGAAGGGGGAAGCUGCCAGGUUCCCCCCCUCCUCUCUCUCUCUCUGAGAUCAUUACUUGCCAAAACAGCACCGGAAGCACACAAGAGGAAGGUAUCUUCAAGCUUAGGAGAACCUCAAGGUUUGCACACAUACAAAAAAAAUAGAUAAAGCCCUGGAAGAAGCAUGGGGAGUGUUCACGCGACACACCUACACACUGCAGCCGACACACUAACAUGUCGCAACACACAGUUUGAAAAGAUCUGAUCUAAAGUGCUGUCACAUGGAAGAUGGAGCAAGCAAGUAGCAAAUUUUCCUACCAAAAGAAAACUAAAUAUCAACAAGAACUGCACCAAGUGGGCCAACACCUCAAUCCAACAGCAGCAAGUUAUGCAGUAAAAGAAGCUGGGAUCCUGGAAUAUUUCUUGGCCCCCCUGGAGGGCCAAGGGGAAGCAGGGAGAUUGGAUGCUCUAAUAGAGGGCAGGAUUACCAGGGUUCACACAUGCAGCUUCAGGUGUGAUCAGUGGCUGUUUGCAUGCAUAAUUGCCCACACAGGGAGGGAUAUACACACAGAAGCCUGUUAAAGAAGAUAAGCAGCCUAGCUACAUUAGGUGCAAGUAACUACUGUAUGUUAUUUAUAAACUGCUAUAGGAGUAUUGGUAUAGUGUAUGGAACUUGCCUUUCCUACAAUGUUCAGCCACUGCUUCAUAGUAACUAACAAUGACAUCCAGUUGCUGUUGUUUGAAAAGUUAUAAAAUGUAUGUUUUCUGUUUAUUUGUAUUUGUUUACGGUCUCUAGGAUUGCCUUAUGACCAGGUUGGCUGGCUUUUCAUAGAUUUGAGACUGGCCAUCCAAUGCUCAUCUCAGACACUAGCUAAUGCAGCUUUUCAGUUUUCAUAACUGUUUAUAUCUGUAUCUAUAACUACAUAUACAUGGUUACAGGUAGGUAGCCGUGUUGGUCUGGCGUAGUCGAAACAAAAAAUAAAAAAAUUCAUUGCAGUAGCACCUUAGAGACCAACUAAGUUUGCCAUAGGUAUGAGCUUUCGUGUGCAUGCACGCUUCUUCAGAUACACUGAAACAGAAGUCACCAGACCCUUAUGUAUAGUCAGAGAUAUCUACGCAUAUAGAUAUAUAGUUUAUAUCCCUUGCAGAAAUGUGCACACACGUGCAUGUAGCAUUAUGGGCAAUUUAGAGAAUAAUAAAUCAACUCCCCACCUUCCAGUGUUACAGCUGUGAGAAAAUAGGGGUCAUCUCAGAUAUGAUUGACAUGGAAGCAAUAAUAUUCAUAGAGUUAGGAAAAUAUUUUGGAGUCAGAACAAUGCUAUUGCUUUUUACCUCCCUUAGCUGGAAAUGGGGCCGCCCAGAAAAAAAGAGUUGAGACAUCCAGAAUUUUAGAGUAGUUGGGUAGCAAUUCUGGGUGGUUUGUCCACCAAGAAGCAAAACAUACCAAAAAGAAUUUAGGCUUUUUUUCUAGCUCAACUCUUACUUCAUGUGAAUAAAUACGGUUUUUAAAACUUUUAAAACAUUUAGAAAUUACUCUGUAGGGCCAAUACACAAUAAAAACUAGGUAUCUAGGCUAAUGGCUAAAGUGAUACGCCCAGAAUCUGAAUCAAUUUCCCCAAGUCUGGCGCUCUCCAGAUGUUUUAGACUACAACUCCCAUCAGCUUCAGCCAGCAUGAUCAGACAUGAUGGGACUUGUAGUCCAAAACCUCAGUAGGGCACCCAAUUGGGGAAGGGUGAUUUAGGCAAACCUCAAUAAACUGUAGUUCAUAUGGCAACCCUAAAGGUGUGACUAUAAACAAAUACCAAGUUGAAAGGUUCUUUUCAUGAGCAUUGACUAAGUUAUACAUCAGAGGAAGGGGGAGGAAGGAAUGCACAAGCCUGAAACUCAGUACUGUCUUGCAUAUUAUGGUUUUCUGUUACAGUUGAAUGCACCAGCCACAUUCUGAUGUAACAAUAAACAAUGGUUUAUCACUACAAAAAUGAACUUAGCUUCUCAUGGCUCAAGCACUCAUCUCUCCUCCUCCUCCUCCUCUUCCACUCACACCAUGGGGAGAAUGAGUUCAGAAGCUUUUAUUCUGCUUUAAACAUAGUUUACCAUCAUGUCUAAGAUCAGACAAACUGUUUGGUCUUAACUAUGUUUAGCUGAAAGAAGUCAGCAUAUAUCUAUGAAUUAUGAAGCUAUUUUGUUUCAGUGAACUAGAACUAUGGUUAAGAUCAGGCAUAGGAUAACUUGGCCCUCCAGUGGUCAGGGAUGAUGGGAAUUAUAGUCCCAAAACAUCUGGAGGGCCAAGUUUGCCUACGUCUGGUUAAGAUUAAUAAUAGUUUAGGGUUCAGGUGUAAUGCUAAACUAUGUUGCAAGCUCUUCACAGCGAUAUGAGCUUCUUUCAUCCCUAUAAUGAUAAAACAUUGUCUGAAUUGGGCCAGUAUGUGCCCCUCAUCAUUCUCAGGAAGCAUUUUAAACACCAUUCUUAAUUCAUGCAGGAAGCAAUCCCAUGAUUGGCCCUGCUCUUCUCCCUUCUAGUCCAGAACUACUGCUUUUAGCUGACCAUCAAGCUGAUGGGAAGUGUCUAGCUGAAAUGUUGCUGUCUGGAUAAAAAGCAAUGUGGUCAUCCACCUCACUUUCUCUGUGAUGAUGUCAGGUGUUUCCACUGACAGGCAGUUGACAGCAGGAUGACGUAAUUUUGACUGCUUCCUGGAGGAGGCACAACACAGUGGAAGCCAAGUUAUGAGCUUUAUGUAUAUGAUGCUUCCUACAGAUUAAAAUGAUAGAGGGUUUUUUAAUUCAGCAACAAAUACAUUAUGCUAUACACAGCAAAGUGACAUAUAUGACUUAAUUUAUUGUUGUCUGCUUUCUAAGUCUUAUUCCUGCCUUGCUAAAGUUGGUUUAUGGGUUUAGGGAGAUAAAAAUAUUAUUUGAAACCUGAACACUUAUUCAAGAGUGAGCUCAUACUUUGAAUGCCUAGCCAGAAAUGGAAUGGACACACUCGUCAGAAUUAAUUAUCAUGUAUUUGAUUUAACUGGCCCUUCAAUUAGAUUGUAAGAAAAAUUAAUUCAUGAUCCUAAGCAAAUUUACUCAGAUAAUAAGCCUCACCAAGUUUAAUGGUACUUAGUCUGUAGUAAUAUGCUUAGGACUACAGCAAUACAGUGCGAUUGUAUGCGUGAUGACAUUUCACCCCAGUCCCUGGAUAUCCUCAACCAGUUGUUUCAUGCAGGUGUUCCAAAGAAUGGAGGCCAGGACCUGUGUCCACACCCG